CCUUUCCUAUAGGCGAUAAAGGGGAUACACGAAGAAAGGCUAGUGCCCCAGAUCUCGGGUUUCGACAGAUUGGAUUCAAAGGCGAUAAGAGAUUCAGUAAGAAAGAUUCAAGAUUCGGUCAUGUUUCAGUCAGUCAUGUCGAUUCACUAUUCAUCGGUGACGACAACUAGCCCUUCGUAGGGAAAUUCCUUAGAAGAAUAAGAGGCAUACUGGCUUUUCCUCUAUGGCUUUGAGAAUAGAAGAGUGCCCGCUGAAUCUGUUCUAUUUCGAGUGCCUGGUGAAUCUCUUCUUAUGGAGUGGUACCCAUUUUGUCUAGUUGACU
rnacentral:lncRNA from 1 species